GUGGUAAUUCUAGAGCUAAUACAUGCAAACAGAGCUCCGACCGGAGACGGAAGGAGCGCUUUUAUUAGAUCAAAACCAAUCGGUGGCGGUUUCCGUCAUCGUACAACUUGGUGACUCUGAAUAACUUUACGCUGAUCGCACGGUCUUGCACCGGCGACGCAUCUUUCAAAUGUCUGCCUUAUCAACUGUCGAUGGUAGGUUCUGCGCCUACCAUGGUUGUAACGGGUAACGGGGAAUCAGGGUUCGAUUCCGGAGAGGGAGCCUGAGAAACGGCUACCACAUCCAAGGAAGGCAGCAGGCGCGCAAAUUACCCACUCCCGGCACGGGGAGGUAGUGACGAAAAAUAACGAUACGGGACUCAUCCGAGGCCCCGUAAUCGGAAUGAGUACACUCUAAACCCUUUAACGAGGAUCAAUUGGAGGGCAAGUCUGGUGCCAGCAGCCGCGGUAAUUCCAGCUCCAAUAGCGUAUAUUAAAGUUGUUGCGGUUAAAAAGCUCGUAGUCGAAUCUGUGUCCCGCGCCGCCGGUUCAUCGUUCGCGGUGUUAACUGGCGUGCCGCGGGACGUCCUGCCGGUGGGCUUAGCUCGCGAGGGCGGCCCAACUCAAUCCCGCCGCGGUGCUCUUCAUUGAGUGUCGAGGUGGGCCGGCACGUUUACUUUGAACAAAUUAGAGUGCUUAAAGCAGGCUAAAACUUUGCCUGAAUACUGUGUGCAUGGAAUNNNNGGAAUUGGCCCCCGGUUUUAUCCUGCCAGUUUUNNNNNNNNNNNUAAUGAUUCAUACAAACAGGAAGANNNNUUUGUAUGAGAAA
rnacentral:rRNA from 1 species